UAUUGCUAGAUUUUGGGUCCC
ensembl:piRNA 21ur-5416 ncRNA